GAAUCUGGGGCCACUGCCAGCUUCUCUCUGCUAUGAUGUUACCAAGCCUCCAGGAAGCUAGACUCACAUGCACCUUCACCCUUUUUGGAACAAGAUGUCAAGGGGGCAGCUAGGUUUCAUUUCCCAGGCUCUCUUGGAGUUAAGUGGGACUAAGAAUUGAGUUCCAGUCCACAGAAUGAGAGACUCCCAAGAGAUGUCCUGGGGAGUCCACCACAGCUUCCCCUAUUAGAGGACUGAAUGCAGAAGGGAGGGGGGAUCCUAAAAAUCACAUUGUAAUUGGACGAGUGCUCAACCUCACACUACUGGAUUAUGUUGAGAGUCAUAUACAUCUAUAGUGAGACGCCACUGUUAUGUAGACAACUUUCAUUACAGUUAUGCCUCGAGAUAUAGAGGGCUAGAGUCUAAAAGCACAC
rnacentral:lncRNA from 1 species